rnacentral:rRNA from 1 species
UGCCUAUUGACUAAUCUAUUUUAGGUAGCUCCUGCCCAAUGAGUAUCACUUAAAUGGCCGCGGUAACCCGUGCGAAGGUAGCGUAAUCNUUUGCCCCUUAAUUGAGGGCCUGUAUGAAUGGAUUAACGAGAAAGAAACUGUCUCCAUAUAAGCUUAUAAAACCUAUCCUCUAGGUGAAAAGACCUAGAUAACCAUAGAAGACAAAAAGACCCUGUCGCGCUUCACCUUUAAAUAAUUAUUAAAACUAUUAGCUAGAGGUUUGGUUGGGGCGACCCCAGAUACUCCUAAACAUCUCUAUAAAAUAAGGCAAACAAGCCUAAUCAUUUGACCCUUAAAAGAUUUAAGAACAAGUCACCGCAGGGAUAACAGGCUAAUCCCCUCUUAGAGCCCAAAUCGACGAGGGGGGUUGGCACCUCGAUGUUGGCUUAGGGUAUCCUUUAGGCGCAGCAGUCUAAAAAGGAAGGUUUGUUCAACCUAAUACACCCU